rnacentral:rRNA from 1 species
UUGUACACACCGCCCGUCACACCAUGGGAGUGGGUUGCACCAGAAGUAGCUAGUCUAACCUUCGGGAGGACGGUUACCACGGUGUGAUUCAUGACUGGGGUGAAGUCGUAGCAAGGUAGCCGUAGGGGAACCUGCGGCUGGAUCACCUCCUUAA